GAUGAAGAACGUAGCGAAAUGCGAUAAGUAAUGUGAAUUGCAGAAUUCAGUGAAUCAUCGAAUCUUUGAACGCACAUUGCGCCCGCCAGUAUUCUGGCGGGCAUGCCUGUUCGAGCGUCAUUUCAACCAUCAAGCCCCCGGGCUUGUGUUGGGGACCUGCGGCUGCCGCAGGCCCUGAAAAGCAGUGGCGGGCUCGCUGUCACACCGAGCGUAGUAGAUUUUAUCUCGCUCAGGGCGUGCUGCGGGUUCCGGCCGUUAAACCACCUUCAUAACCCAAGGUUGACCUCGGAUCAGGUAGGAAGACCCGCUGAACUUAAGCAUAUCAAUAAGCGGAGG
rnacentral:misc_RNA from 1 species